GGACUACAAGGGUAUCUAAUCCCGUUCGCUCCCCUAGCUUUCGCGCCUCAGCGUCAGAAGAGGUCCAGCACGUCGCUUUCGCCACCGGCGUUCCUUCCGAUAUCUACGCAUUUCACCGCUCCACCGGAAGUUCCACAUGCCCCUACCUCCCUCAAGAUCAUCAGUAUCAAAGGCACUUCUCCAGUUGAGCUGGAGGCUUUCACCCCUGACUUGACAACCCGCCUACGCGCCCUUUAAGCCCAGUGAAUCCGAACAACGUUCGCACGGUUCGUCUUACCGCGGCGGCUGGCAC
rnacentral:rRNA from 2 species